UACAGAGGGCUCAAGCGUUGUUCGGAUUCAUUGGGCGUAAAGGGUGCGUAGGUGGCAUGGUAAGUCGGAUGUGAAAUCCCGGGGCUCAACCCCGGAACUGCAUUCGAUACUGCUGCGCUAGAGUACUGGAGAGGAGAUUGGAAUUUACGGUGUAGCAGUGAAAUGCGUAGAUAUCGUAAGGAAGACCAGUGGCGAAGGCGGAUCUCUGGACAGUUACUGACACUGAGGCACGAAGGCCAGGGGAGCAAACGGG
rnacentral:rRNA from 1 species